rnacentral:rRNA from 1 species
GACGAACGCUGGCGGCGUGCUUAACACAUGCAAGUCGAACGGUAAGGCCCUUCGGGGUACACGAGUGGCGAACGGGUGAGUAACACGUGGGUGAUCUGCCCUGCACUUCGGGAUAAGCAUGGGAAACUGGGUCUAAUACCGGAUAGGACCCUGGGAUGCAUGUCCUGGGGUGGAAAGCUUUUGCGGUGUGGGAUGGACCCGCGGCCUAUCAGCUUGUUGGUGGGGUGAUGGCCUACCAAGGCGACGACGGGUAGCCGGCCUGAGAGGGUGACCGGCCACACUGGGACUGAGAUACGGCCCAGACUCCUACGGGAGGCAGCAGUGGGGAAUAUUGCACAAUGGGCGCAAGCCUGAUGCAGCGACGCCGCGUGAGGGAUGACGGCCUUCGGGUUGUAAACCUCUUUCAGCACCGACGAAGCGCAAGUGACGGUAGGUGCAGAAGAAGGACCGGCCAACUACGUGCCAGCCGCCGCGGUAA